GCCCCGCAAGGGGAGCGGCAGACGGGUGAGUAACGCGUGGGAAUCUACCCUUUUCUACGGAAUAACGCAUGGAAACGUGUGCUAAUACCGUAUGAGUCCUUCGGGGGAAAGAUUUAUCGGGAAAGGAUGAGCCCGCGAUGGAUUAGCUAGUUGGGGGGGUAAAGGCCUACCAAGGAGACGAUCCAUAGCUGGUCUGAGAGGAUGAUCAGCCACAUUGGGACUGAGACACGGCCCAAACUCCUACGGGAGUGAGAAGGGGGGAAUAUUGGACAAUGGGCGCAAGCCUGAUCCAGCCAUGCCGGGUGAGUGAUGAAGGCCCUAGGGCUGUAAAGCUCUUUCACCGGUGAAGAUAAUGACGGUAACCGGAGAAUAAGCCCCGGCUAACUUCGUGCCAGCAGCCGCGGGAAUACGAAGGGGGCUAGCGUUGAUCGGAUUUACUGGGCGUAAAGCGCACGUAGGCGGACAUUUAAGUCAGGGGUGAAAUCCCAGAGCUCAACUCUGGAACUGCCUUUGAUACUGGGUGUCUAGAGUAUGGAAGAGGUGAGUGGAAUUCCGAGUGUAGAGGUGAAAUUCGUAUAUAUUCGGAGGAACACCAGUGGCGAAGGCGGCUCACUGGUCCAUUACUGACGCUGAUGUGCGAAAGCGUGGAGAGCAAACAGGAUUAGAUACCCUGGUAGUCCACGCCGUAAACGAUGACUGAUAGCCGUCGGGCAGAUCUACUGUUCGGUGGCGCAGCUAACGCAUUAAACAUUCCGCCUGGUGAGUACUGUCGCAAGAUUAAACUCAAGGAAUUGACGGGGGCCCGCACUACGCGGUGUAGCAUGUGGUUUAAUUCGAAGCAACACGCAGAACUUUACCAGCCCUUGACAUCCCGA
rnacentral:rRNA from 1 species